rnacentral:rRNA from 1 species
CAGAGGUCUCAAGCGUUGUUCGGAUUCAUUGGGCGUAAAGGGUGUGUAGGUGGCGCGCUAAGUCGGGUGUGAAAUUUCGGAGCUUAACUCCGAAACUGCAUUCGAUACUGGCGUGCUUGAGGACUGGAGAGGAGACUGGAAUUCAUGGUGUAGCAGUGAAAUGCGUAGAGAUCAUGAGGAAGACCAGUGGCGAAGGCGGGUCUCUGGACAGUUCCUGACACUGAGACACGAAGGCCAGGGGAGCAAACGGGAUUAGAUACCCCGGUAGUCCUGGCAGUAAACGGUGCACGUUUGGUGUGGGAGGAUUCGACCCCUUCUGCGCCGGAGCUAACGCGUUAAACGUGCCGCCUGGGGAGUACGGUCGCAAGAUUA